rnacentral:rRNA from 1 species
UACGUAGGGGGCAAGCGUUGUCCGGCUUUAUUGGGCGUAAAGAGCGUGUAGGCGGUUUGGUAGGUCCGCUGUGAAAACUCGAGGCUCAACCUCGAGACGCCGGUGGAAACCAUCAGACUAGAGUCCGGAAGAGGAGAGUGGAAUUCCUGGUGUAGCGGUGAAAUGCGCAGAUAUCAGGAAGAACACCCGUGGCUAAGGCGGCUCUCUAGUACGGUACUGACGCUGAGACGCGAAAGCGUGGGGAGCGAACAGG